UGGGGAAUUUUGGACAAUGGGCGAAAGCCUGAUCCAGCAAUGCCGCGUGUGUGAAGGAGGCCUUCGGGUUGUAAAGCACUUUUGUCCGGAAAGAAAUCCUUGGCUCUAAUACAGUCGGGGGAUGACGGUACCGGAAGAAUAAGCACCGGCUAACUACGUGCCAGCAGCCGCGGUAAUACGUAGGGUGCAAGCGUUAAUCGGAAUUACUGGGCGUAAAGCGUGCGCAGGCGGUUUGCUAAGACCGAUGUGAAAUCCCCGGGCUCAACCUGGGAACUGCAUUGGUGACUGGCAGGCUAGAGUAUGGCAGAGGGGGGUAGAAUUCCACGUGUAGCAGUGAAAUGCGUAGAGAUGUGGAGGAAUACCGAUGGCGAAGGCAGCCCCCUGGGCCAAUACUGACGCUCAUGCACGAAAGCGUGGGGAGCAAACAGGAUUAGAUACCCUGGUAGUCCACGCCCUAAACGAUGUCAACUAGUUGUUGGGGAUUCAUUUCCUUAGUAACGCAGCUAACGCGUGAAGUUGACCGCCUGGGGAGUACGGUCGCAAGAUUAAAACUCAAAUGAAUUGACGGGGUCAUAGCUG
rnacentral:rRNA from 1 species